rnacentral:misc_RNA from 1 species
UUUUUUUUAUGUGUAAUGAAUUUAGCUGAAAUAUCAUAAUUGAAUAUGUCUGGUAUUACAUGUACAUGUAUAAUACUUGAUGUUUGUCUGGAUGGAUGGAUGUAUAUUAUAAUUGUUUGCAUGUAUAUAUAUUUUUCAAUAUAUGUAUAGACAAGUAUCAAAAAGCUAAAAAAAAAUUAAGGAAUUAAAGUUCAUAUUUAAUUUGUUCAUAUGGCAUCUUUCUCAGAACACUUUGUACAUUGACAUUGUGUAAUGCAGCAUGAACAGCAUUCACAACCAGUGAUGGUUUUGUCUUUUGUAAAACCAAAUGUAGAUAAAAGCUGAUCUCUUAAAC